rnacentral:rRNA from 1 species
GAUGAACGCUGGCGGCGUGCCUAACACAUGCAAGUCGAGCGAUCUUCUUCGGAAGAGAGCGGCGGACGGGUGAGUAACGCGUGGGUAACCUGCCCUGUACACACGGAUAACAUACCGAAAGGUAUGCUAAUACGAGAUAAUAUACUUUUAUCGCAUGGUAGAAGUAUCAAAGCUUUGCGGUACAGGAUGGACCCGCGUCUGAUUAGCUAGUUGGUAAGGUAACGGCUUACCAAGGCGACGAUCAGUAGCCGACCUGAGAGGGUGAUCGGCCACAUUGGAACUGAGACACGGUCCAAACUCCUACGGGAGCAGCAGUGGGGAAUAUUGCACAAUGGGCGAAAGCCUGAUGCAGCAACGCCGCGUGAGCGAUGAAGGCC